UGUUUCUUGAUGAAUGUUAAUGUCUUUUGGUCUAUAAAUUGGUUUGUUUGUUGGUGUGCAGGCUUGGAUCCCUGAGACUCCUGAAAGGCAAAUUGUUCAAGAAGCAAAGCAUGGAAGCCAGCAGGAGCUGGGCGAAGGGGAGGCUGAGAUGAGUUUCUAUAUAAGAUUCCACAGGAGCAAAAAGGAGACAGUAAUCGAUGACUCCUGGAUUGGACGUUCUCUCUUUCAAGUUCCUCCUCUUCUUCUCCCCAUAUUGUACCACCCACUCUUCAUUGUCUCUAGUUUGGCAGAUCUACGUGGGCAGUUUUGUCCUUCCUGCUCUAUUUUCGGUUCAAAACACUCCUUGAAGAGAUUGGUCAAGUUGAUAAAAGCAAUCAAAGAAUCUUCAAUUUUCGUGAGCCACAAAAUGGAAAAAGGGGGGAUCUUUUUUUUCACUUAUCAGCAGUCAGGCUAUGGAGCUUGAGGAAAAGCACAAAAGAUCUGAGGAUAAAGAAAGGUGGUGAGUACUUGUUUAAAAUACUCUUCUUUAUGGAAUAACAUAAUCAGUUAGGUAUAGAAAUCUAACUUGCCCCAUAAGGCAGUAGGAGGGAAAAGGGGAAAGAAAAGGGAAGGGAGAUAGAAGGGAGGGAAGAAGUAGUAAGGGUAAAGGGGAAGGAAAGGGAGUAGGCUAAUAGAAGGGAGGUGGGACUGAGGGAGGUGGUGGUCAAAAGCAAAACACUAAUGAGGAGGGGAAAGGAGAAAGAAAAGCAUAAAUGGGGGUAAGGAGUAAAGGAUGGAGAGAAAGACACAGACAGCAACCAUAACCGUGAAUGUAAUGGAAUAUCAUUGUGCUAUAAAAAAUGAUGAACAGGAAGACUUCAGAAAAACCUGAAAGACAUGUAUGGUCUGAUGCUGAGUGAAGUGAGAAGAAGCAGAAGAACGUUGUACACAGUAACAGCCACGUUGGGCGAUGACUAAUAUUGAUAGACUUAACCCUUCUCAAAAGCAAUACAAGGAUCUAAGACAUCUCCAAAGGCCUCAGGAUGGAAAGUGCUAUUCAUAUCCAAAGAAAUAACAAUGGAGUUUGAAUGCAGAUUGAAGCAUACUAUUUGCUAUUUUUUUUUCUUCUGUUGUGUUUUGUUUCUUCUUUCUGGUGGUUCCUCCUAUUGGUUCUAAUUCUUCCUUACAACAUCACUAAUGUGAAAAUAUGUUUAGUAGGAAAGUAUAUGUAUAGCCUAUAUCAUAUUGCAC
rnacentral:lncRNA from 1 species